UUCGCAAUGCCCGAAAGGGUGACGAAGCGACGCCGCGUGGGUGAAGAAGGCCUUUGGGUUGUAAAACCCUGUCAGGAGUUAUGAAAUGUAAGUGCGCUAAUAUCGUGCUUAUUUGACAAAGGCUCCAAAGGAAGCCACGGCUAACUCUGUGCCAGCAGCCGCGGUAAUACAGAGGUGGCGAGCGUUGUUCGGAAUUAUUGGGCGUAAAGAGCACGUAGGUGGGUUUGCAAGUCAGAUGUGAAAGCCUUCUGUUCAACGGGAGAAUUGCAUCUGAAACUGCUAAUCUUGAGUGUAGGAGGGGAGAAUGGAACUUCUGGUGGAGCGGUGAAAUGCGUAGAUAUCAGAAGGAACGCCGGCGGCGAAAGCGAUUCUCUGGCCUAUUACUGACACUCAGUGUGCGAAAGCUAGGGGAGCAAACGGGAUUAGAUACCCCGGUAGUCCUAGCCGUAAACGAUGGGCACUAAGUAGA
rnacentral:rRNA from 1 species